GAGAGCUUUCAUCAUUUAAAACGUUUUAAUUUGUUAAAUAAAAAAAAAAAAUCAACUCCCAAUAAAAAAGGAAAUGCUACUUGUUCACAAUUCUCAAAGUAUUUUCUUUACAAAUCAAACAUGAAUAUGAGAAAGGAAAGGUUUCUCUGCAUGAGAAAUAUUUUACAAAUUGAUCAUUUUUUCCCUAAAAAAGGUGUACAAAAUAAAAUACUAAAACUGUACAUAUAUACAUAAAUUCAAUAGUAAAAUUGCAUAAUCAGCCUCAUUAUUAAAUCAUUAUUUUAAAUAUUCAGUAUUGAUCUUGUGCCUGUGUUGAUGAGCUCUGUGCAGAUCCACAACUAAAGCCCCUAAAACCUAGAUACACUCCUGUAACACACACAGACAUUUACACAUAGGAGGGGAAAAAAACACAUAUAUGGCCCUGCAAAGACAAAACAUUUGAGUGAUGAGUGCGAUUUGAGGCGUGUGAUACUCAA